GCUGAUGUAAAUUUGAGUUUUUGAGGGGCCUAAGUGAAUUUUGUUGCUUUAGAUGGUCUAUAUCGCCAUUUCACCCUCUUCUCUUCUCAUUUCUCCCCUUCAUACCUAUUAUAGAGAGAGAAGAAGAGAGGGAGAAGAAGAGGAAGAAGAAGAAGAGGAGAAGGAGACCAAGCUUGGAGGCCUUGAAGCUUCAACCCUUCUCUCUUUCUCACCCUUUGGAGGCUUGGAGCUUGCUAUUGGAGCCUUGUGGUGGAUCAAUCUUCAACCUAGGAGAAUUUUGGACUUGGAUUGGAGCAUCCUAGAGGUAUGUGGCUAGUUUCCUUCCUCUAGGUUUGGAUUUUGUUGCUCUAUGUUGAUUGAAACCCUAGAUUUGGAUUUUAGGGUUAGAUUUGGGGAUUCUUGAUUUGGGGCUUCUUGAUCUCAUUUGAAUGGUUUGGAACCUUUGCAUAGGUUAGAUUGGAAGACCUCUACCUCCCAUUUGAGGAUUAAGAGAGGGUUUUUCACUUGAGGUGAGUUUUUCCAACCCUAGCUUGAGAAGCUUAAUGAUUGAGCUUAGCGUUGUUCAUUUCGAUUAGGUGACACUUGUUUUCAUACCUCUAGGGUACUAGGAGGCUAGAGGACACCUUCGUCGGAGCAAACGAAGGAUUUCGUUUACCGUUGGUGGGUUUGACUUCAUGAAAACGAGGCGAAAUGGCCCCUAUGCUUUCUAAACUCUUCGUAAAGUAUUUUUGAAUGCAUUUCUAUGCUAAUUGGAAUUUAUGUGAAUUUUAGAACACCUAAAAUGCAUGCCUUAUGUGUAAGUUAAAUUUCACUCUAUAUAGUAGAGUAAUCAUGGGUAUUUUCAUGCAUGUGAGGAGUGUUCAUGUGGACAAAUGGGAUUCUCGUCUAGUAUGCUAAUUUAGCUCAUAUUCGUGUAUUGGAAGCAUUAUACUAAGUUUGGACUUAGUAGCAUAAAAUGUCAUCAAGAGGCAAUUGGAACUAGUAAACUAUGAAACUGCAACAUAGAAGCAUAAUGUUAGGCCAUUGUAUAUCUGCUAUAUAUUCCAUGUUAGAGACAUGAUGACAUAGAGAUAGGCCUUUGGGACAUACGAUACAAUCUAUGUUAUUAUACAUGAGGAUUUGGUACUUGUGACUGGACUUAUGACUACUUGCCAUUGUGCUCAUUCGCACAUGCUUGUGAGGGUCGCUCCCUACAAGCCGGCACUCCGGAGAUAGCCAUCGCGAUUCAUAUUCGCCGUGCGGGACUGGGCGCCGAAGUGGAUUGCCGUGGGCCAGGCUCAUUCCUAGGGUGGGGAUGAUGACUACCACCGGGCCACUAGGCUCGGCAUCGGCCAGACAGCCUACGGGCGGGUCUCAGGGCCAUAGACGGCCUUCGGGUAGGUCUCUUCAGAUUUGACUUGAGUAUUCACUAUGAUAUGUGAACCUUAAAACUAUUAAAGUGGACUUGGACUAGAAUAGUAAAUAAUGACACCUUUACUAUUUUCGCAUUGAGGACAUCGGAUUGGUUGCAU
rnacentral:lncRNA from 1 species